rnacentral:rRNA from 1 species
AUGGCCCUUACGAGUAGGGCUACACACGUGCUACAAUGGCGUAUACAAAGAGAAGCGACCUCGCGAGAGCAAGCGGACCUCAUAAAGUACGUCGUAGUUUGGAUUGAAGUCUGCAAUUCGACUCCAUGAAGUUGGAAUCGCUAGUAAUCGUAGAUCAGAAUGCUACGGUGAAUACGUUCCAGGGCCUUGUACACACCGCCCGUCACACCAUGGGAAUGGUGUUGCAAAAGAAGUAGGUAGCUUAACCUUCGGGAGGGCGCUUACCACUUUGUGACUCAUGACCGGGGUGAAGUUGUAACAAGGUAACCGCAGGUUCCCCUACGGUUGGAUCACCUCCUUACCU